rnacentral:rRNA from 1 species
UACGAAGGGGGCUAGCGUUGUUCGGAAUUACUGGGCGUAAAGCGCACGUAGGCGGAUCGAUCAGUCAGGGGUGAAAUCCCAGGGCUCAACCCUGGAACUGCCUUUGAUACUGUCGAUCUGGAGUAUGGAAGAGGUAAGUGGAAUUCCGAGUGUAGAGGUGAAAUUCGUAGAUAUUCGGAGGAACACCAGUGGCGAAGGCGGCUCACUGGUCCGGUACUGACGCUGAGGUGCGAAAGCGUGGGGAGCAAACAGG